UUUUACGGCCGCCAGUAUBUGACUGUGCUAARGUAGCGUGAUAAUUUGCCUUUUAAUUGGAGGCUGGAAUGAAUGGGAUAACGUGAAACUAUCUUUUUUGAAGUGGUUAAUUUGAAAUUGCAGUUGAAUUGAAAAUGAUUUAAUGAUCUUAUUAGACGAGAAGACCCUGUCGAUCUUUAUUAUUCUUAAAAUUUUAAUUYUGGAUAAAAUCUUUAGUUUUUAAAAAUAAGUUAAUUGGGGCGAUUGAGGMAGAAAAAAUCUUCCUCUGGUUACUUGAGGUUUUCCUUCUUUUUAUUGAGCCAAUUUACGGUUGAUUAACAGAUUAAGUUACCGCAGGGAUAACAGAGUAAUAUUUUKGGAAAGUUCUUAUUGAUAAAAAUGUUUACUACCUCGAUGUUKSAUUAGGAUAUAUUUGGKGCAGGYGCUUWAUUAAUKAGACUGUUCGUCU
rnacentral:rRNA from 1 species